CGUCAUGAAAAAAAACAUAAGGGGUAACACUGUCGUUUUUUAUUGGUCGUCAUGAAAAAAAACAUAAGGGGUAACACUGUCGUUUUUUAUUGGUCGUCAUGAAAAGAAACAUAAGGGGUAACACUGUCGUUUUUUAUUGGUCGUCAUGAAAAAAAAAUAAGGGGGGUAACACUGUCGUUUUUUAUGGGUCGUCUUGAAAAAAAACAUGAGGGGUAACACUGUCGUUUUUUAUGGGUCGUCUUGAAAAAAAACAUAAGGGGUAACACUGUCGUUUUUUAUUGGUCGUCUUGAAAAAAAACAUAAGGGGUAACACUGUCGUUUUUUUAUUGGUCGUCAUGAAAAAAAACAUAAGGGGGGUAACACUGUCGUUUUUAAUUGGUCGUCAUGAAAAAAAACAUAAGGGGUAACACUGUCGUUUUUUAU
ensembl:lncRNA